AAAGAAGCGACGCACGAAGGGUGAGCAGGAGAAAAAGGAACGCGUGCGAGCCCGCACGUGUGUGGAACGAACUGCUGCCUGACUGUGGGGCGCCCCGAGUCGUUCGGCGAUCCAGUCCUAACGGCAGGAACGGCAACAGUGGGUGGCGAUGGCCGCAAUGCACAACAGGGCAGGGAUGCCCUUCUGCCUGCAUCUGACGACGUGGUGGUGAAGAUUUAGGUCCACCAGUCUUAGCGGCUACAAGUACACCUCUCUGAACAGUGUCUGGGAGGCUGUGGUUGCUGCUGCACGCAAUGUUGAUGGUGAACAGAUCAAAACACUGACAGAAUCCAUGGAUGGCAGGCUUUUGAGUGUCCUUGCAAAGAAAGUUCUCCACAGUCGCUGUCCACAUGGGUCAGUGGGACAAAGAAGCGCUCUGCUAAUGUGUGGACUCUGACCAGCAACAUCCAGCAAGACCCAGACAGCGUUUUCUAUCUCCCAGCUGGAGUUUUUUGUUUGUCUGUGACUGGAGAGUCAGAUUUUUGUUGAGCUUCACACUUGCAGAGGUAAGUCAGUUUGUAGAGAUCCCUCCCACCCUGGCUUUUAUGUCCUAGAUUUCUUAUCGGAAACAGUAAUAUUUCAGUGACUGCUGCUUAUAGCACAGGUUAAUACACGCUACUGAUCCCUGAUAGGAGAAUCAUCAGUUUUGGCAACAAAGAAGCCUGGUGGAUGGUUUUUUUUUUUUUUUUUUUUACAGUCUGAUGAUGGGACAUCGUGCUCUGCAUCUUCAAAGUUUGCCUCCUCGUUAUUAUUCAUACCCAGUAAUGUGAAGUAUGCUUAUAUCUACCGUAGCUGCCUCCACCAGUGUGUGAAUGUGAGAGUGAAUGAAUAGUGGCAUUGUAAAGCGCUUUGGGUGCCUUGAAAAGCGCUAUAUAAAUCCAAUCCAUUAUUAUCUACUAUAACUGAACCAACCUGGUGCUCUUCAUUUAUGGAGGCUGUUGAGUCUGAAUGUUGGAUAUUGUGUAUCUCGUGUUCUCUGGGCUUUGUUGUCCUCAGUUUUUUUGCAGGAUCAGAAAACAAAACCAGGAGGCGUGUAAAUGUUUCUUCUCCAUGAUGUUUCUUCAAAUGUUUCUUCUGGAUGAUGAUAAGACUGUGACACGGGAUGCCACCUUUGGUCACCUUUGAUGAAGCAAAGCUCAGGAAGAAGUCUGAUUAAAUGGUACCCACAUGUUGAGGGAUGUACAGGGGCACCUGCAGCCAAAUCCAAGCUUCAGCAGUUUGUGCUCACAGAUGGUGACAGUGUGGAGAGACGGUGGUGUUUCCUCAGAAGAACCAGCAGAGUCACAAAGGACACCAGUCCAUCUCACCACCUUGACUUGCUGACUGAUGUUCGUCUGCACUGCACAGAGGAAAUCAACUGACCGAGGAGUGUUUCUGAGUGAGGGAGAGAGGAGUCAUCAUCCAGUUUAAGUGACGUAGAUCAGUGGAUACACUUGUCUCCCCUUUAAUGGAGACGAUCCAAGUCAUCCUUAAAUAUGGGCAGGAUAUCAGUCUUGGACUGUCUAACCUGCCGGAACAGCACUGAAUGAUCACCACACAUGAGCAUGUUCCUGCAACAUGCAGCAUCUGAUCCUUCAUCUGUGUGCUUCUGCUUUUGUGUCACAUGUCAAACAGCUGGAGAGGAAACUACACCAGUGUACUGGGAUGUUUCAGCAACACGUGCCAGAUGCUGUUCCUUCAUGGUGACAUCACCAGAGACAGCCCCACCCACCUCAGGACCUCGCCAUUGAUCAUGAUGAUUAUAAUGAUGACAGCGAGCGGAACUAAGACUGUAAAAAUCCACGACCAGAAUUUUUCUUUCUAAUUAUUAAUGAAUACUGAGAGCCUCUUUCUGUGUUUUGUCUGUUUUUUGUUUUGUUUUUAAAACCUCAUUUGUUACUAACAAAGUUCACCAAACUCACACAGUUUACAUUCUGUAUGUUUCCAUCUUUACCAGCCACACUCUAACUGCAUUUAAGAAAAUAAUCCUUAGAAAUCGUCGUUUUUCUCUUUUGCAAUUGAUGAUAAUUCAGUGAAUAAACUGCUGUUUGAAUUCUCUGUAUGUUUGACCCUGUAGACUGUUUGAUGGACUGCUUGUCUUCCUGUUUGUUACCGCCGCCUGUUUUUUGACUAAAGAUUUGGAUUUCUGACUUCAACACUAUGAUUUAAC
ensembl:lncRNA